UUUCUAUGAAGAUACCUUGUCCAGUUCUGCUACUGAAUGCAAGUGGUGAUAAUGAUGACUCUGAGAAA
ensembl:snoRNA